AGUGGUCCUUAUCAGAGCUGCAGCCCGGGGGGUGGGGGUGGGGGUGGGGAAUAAAUGAUGAUGGAAAAAAAGAAGCCCAAAGUGACCCUUUUCCUUGAUGGUCACCGUUAUGUUUGCUGUAACUCAUCUGCAACAUUUCAGGAAAAGACAAUU